rnacentral:rRNA from 2 species
AAAGAUUUAUCGGCAAGAGAUGAGCCCGCGUUGGAUUAGCUAGUUGGUGAGAUAACAGCCCACCAAGGCGACGAUCAGUAGCCGGUCUGAGAGGAUGAACGGCCACAUUGGAACUGAGACACGGUCCAAACUCCUACGGGAGGCAGCAGUGGGGGAUAUUGCACAAUGGGGGGAAACCCUGAUGCAGCGACGCCGCGUGAACGAAGAGGGUAUUCGUAUCGUAAAGUUCUGUCCUAUGGGAAGAUAAUGACAGUACCAUAGAAGAAAGCUCCGGCUAAAUACGUGCCAGCCGCCGCGGUAA